rnacentral:rRNA from 1 species
CUACGGGGCGCAGCAGUGAGGAAUAUUGCACAAUGGGGGGAACCCUGAUGCAGCAACGCCGCGUGGAGGAUGACGCAUUUCGGUGUGUAAACUCCUUUUAUAUGUCAAGAAAAUGACGGUAGCAUAUGAAUAAGCACCGGCUAACUCCGUGCCAGCAGCCGCGGUAAUACGGAGGGUGCAAGCGUUACUCGGAAUCACUGGGCGUAAAGGACGCGUAGGCGGGUUGGAAAGUCAGGUGUGAAAUCCUACAGCUUAACUGUAGAACUGCACUUGAAACUUCUAAUCUAGAGUAUGGGAGGGGGAGAUGGAAUUAGUGGUGUAGGGGUAACAUCCGUAGAUAUCACUAGGAAUACCUAAAGCGAAGGCGAUCUCCUGGAACAUUACUGACGCUAAGGCGUGAAAGCGUGGGGAGCAGACAGGAUUAGAUACCCGGGUAGUC